UACGAAGGGGGCUAGCGUUGCUCGGAAUCACUGGGCGUAAAGCGCACGUAGGCGGAUUGUUAAGUCAGGGGUGAAAUCCUGGAGCUCAACUCCAGAACUGCCUUUGAUACUGGCGAUCUCGAGUCCGGGAGAGGUGAGUGGAACUGCGAGUGUAGAGGUGAAAUCGUAGAUAUUCGCAAGAACACCAGUGGCGAAGGCGGCUCACUGGCCCGGUACUGACGCUGAGUA
rnacentral:rRNA from 1 species